rnacentral:rRNA from 1 species
GACGGACGCUGGCGGCGUGCCUAAUACAUGCAAGUAGAACGCUGAAGGAGGAGCUUGCUUCUCUGGAUGAGUUGCGAACGGGUGAGUAACGCGUAGGUAACCUGCCUGGUAGCGGGGGAUAACUAUUGGAAACGAUAGCUAAUACCGCAUAAUAGUAGAUGUUGCAUGACAUUUACUUAAAAGGUGCAAUUGCAUCACUACCAGAUGGACCUGCGUUGUAUUAGCUAGUUGGUGGGGUAACGGCUCACCAAGGCGACGAUACAUAGCCGACCUGAGAGGGUGAUCGGCCACACUGGGACUGAGACACGGCCCAGACUCCUACGGGAGGCAGCAGUAGGGAAUCUUCGGCAAUGGACGAAAGUCUGACCAAGCAACGCCGCGUGAGUGAAGAAGGUUUUCGGAUCGUAAAGCUCUGUUGUAAGAGAAGAACGAGUGUGAGAGUGGAAAGUUCACACUGUGACGGUAUCUUACCAGAAAGGGACGGCUAACUACGUG